AACCCAUGGUUAGGGCACCUUCUCAAUAAGUCCUUAUACCUCUCCCAUGCAACAUAUAGAGUUUCUAAAUCCAUUUGCAUGAAGGAAGAGAUAUCAUUACUCAAUUU
rnacentral:snoRNA from 1 species